GGAGGUCUGAACAGUUCUGCUGCUUGGAUCUCCUAAGUUAAACAGGGUCAGACCUGGUUAGUUCUUGGAUGGGAGACCUCCAAGGAAAACACAGGUGCUAGCCUGCA
ensembl:rRNA 5S_rRNA 5S ribosomal RNA